rnacentral:rRNA from 1 species
UCGAGGGGCAGCAUCAUCAAAGCUUGCUUUGAUGGAUGGCGACCGGCGCACGGGUGAGUAACACGUAUCCAACCUGCCGACAACACUGGGAUAGCCUUUCGAAAGAAAGAUUAAUACCGGAUGGCAUAGUUCUUCCGCAUGGUGGAACUAUUAAAGAAUUUCGGUUGUCGAUGGGGAUGCGUUCCAUUAGGCAGUUGGCGGGGUAACGGCCCACCAAACCUACGAUGGAUAGGGGUUCUGAGAGGAAGGUCCCCACAUUGGAACUGAGACACGGUCCAAACUCC